UACGUAGGGAGCAAGCGUUGUCCGGAAUCAUUGGGCGUAAAGAGCGUGUAGGCGGCUUCACAGGUCCGCUGUGAAAACUCGAGGCUCAACCUCGAGCUGUCGGUGGAAACCGUGUGGCUAGAGUCCGGAAGAGGAGAGUGGAAUUCCCGGUGUAGCGGUGAAAUGCGCAGAUAUCGGGAAGAACACCCGUGGCGAAGGCGGCUCUCUGGGACGGUACUGACGCUGAGACGCGAAAGCGUGGGGAGCGAACAGG
rnacentral:rRNA from 1 species